UUAUGGCUCAAGUGGUAGAGUGCUUGGCUAGCAUGCAUGAGGCACUGGGUUCGAUCCUCAGCAGAAA
rnacentral:tRNA from 1 species